rnacentral:rRNA from 1 species
CGGGACGGGUGAGUAAUGUCUGGGAAACUGCCUGAUGGAGGGGGAUAACUACUGGAAACGGUAGCUAAUACCGCAUAACGUCGCAAGACCAAAGAGGGGACCUUCGGGCCUCUUGCCAUCGGAUGUGCCCAGAUGGGAUUAGCUAGUAGGUGGGGUAACGGCUCACCUAGGCGACGAUCCCUAGCUGGUCUGAGAGGAUGAUCAGCCACACUGGGACUGAGACACGGCCCAG